GGCACGGUGGCGCAGUGGGCAGCGCUGUCAUCUCACAGCAAGAAGGUCGUCGGUUCGAAUCUCGGCUUGGGGCC
rnacentral:tRNA from 1 species